AACAAACGCUGGCGGCGUGCCUAACACAUGCAAGUCGUACGAGAAAGUUGGCUUCGGCCAAUGAGUAAAGUGGCGCACGGGUGAGUAACGCGUGGAUAAUCUGCCCUUCAGCGGGGAAUAACCCAUCGAAAGGUGGGCUAAUACCCCAUAACACUGUUUCACAACUGUAAAACAGUCAAAGAGAGCCUCUGCUUGCAAGCUUUUACUGAAGGUUGAGUCCGCGUACCAUUAGCUAGUUGGUAGGGUAAUGGCCUACCAAGGCGACGAUGGUUAGCUGGUCUGAGAGGAUGAUCAGCCACACUGGAACUGAGAUACGGUCCAGACUCCUACGGGAGGCAG
rnacentral:rRNA from 1 species